CCCCCCACCCCGUCCCCCGGGCCUCCUUUCUCCUUCCUGUCCUGUCUGUCGGGUUUGGCAGAUCUGGGCGCCCACCCCAGCGCGGCCCGAGCCUGGACAGACGAAUCCUUCUUUGUGACAAGGGCCCUCCUCCCUGGUGAAACCACCUGUCUUCCGGAUAUAUCGAUCUGGUCGUAGAGAAAUACUCGAGAGCACGGGAAAACCGUCACUCAAUAUCGUUGAGGAAGAAAGCAAGCUACAAAACUACGUGCGAUAGGGUCCUGUCUGAGAGGACAAAACCAACACGGCCCACACAUACCCAGGGGGUUCCAAACGACCGGAAGUAUACACAUCAAACUAUAGUUUGGAGUUACUGGAUUAUAGGAAAGUAUCACAGCCACCAGAGGGAAGAGAGUCAGUGGCCGGAUCCUGGCGUGACCUUGCUCCUAUGUGACCCAUGACAGUCACCCGGGAGGCCAGACACCCAGAAGUAAGAGGGAAGAGAGCCUGGCGGUGGAGUAUAUGGCGGUCCAUGUCUCGGCGGAGAGCAGGAGAGAGGGAGGUGGAGAAGGAGUCUGGAGGGGAAAUGGAGAAAACCAACGGGUAGCUUGCCCACGUCCCCAUCCCUAAAAGUCUCUCCACAGCCCACGCUCCUGCAGAUUUCCCCGGGCUUCCCCUUAGGGCAGAGGCAGCCUCUGUGGAGGAUGACCCCUUAGAGAGGAGGGCUGGCAGGGGAGGGGCAGAGCCUGGGGACCUGAGCCUCCCACACAGUUAGGGUCUCCAGCCUCGAAAGGGCAGAUCUGAGCAACAGACAUGGCCUGCGGUGCUGUUUUAAUAUUUAGAGUCUGACUCAUCAAAUCCAGGUGGUAAUCACUUAGAUCCUUGGGCCACCAAGCAAGGAUCUAUGAAAGAGCACUUUGCUCUUAAUUAAGGCAUGACAGAACACUGAAGCAUUUUCCCUUUCCGCGAAUACAAUGCUUGGGCUGGUCUGACCACAUUCACCAGCACAGCAUUGCUUUUGUUCAGGUGCCAUGCCUUCCCCAGCUCGCACUCUGUUGUUCUUUUAGAUAUUGGGCAAUUCUGCAUAGAUGCUGAAUUAUAUCGAAAUGAUGACUGAGUACGCUAUUUUUACUUUCGACAUGUUGUUUCUUUAAUUUACCCGUGGCGUUGAUUAGGACAGACUUAAAGGGGAUAAUGAUGUAUAAAAUGGACCAUAAAUUGAGUGCUAGGAGUUAGGAGCUGUGGCUUAGAGGAAAAUUUAUCUGUGAGUUUCAUUGAAUUGUCAAUUGAAGACUAGGCUAGGAGAGGAUUCAGUGAUAGGAAACUUCUGGAGGAAAUGGAGAACUCAAGGGUAACAUGUUCUCAGCUUGGAGUGUGUACUUUCUCGAGACCGUGUGGUGACUAGCAGAACUGUGGAGUGAAAGAGAACCCUAAGUACUUUAAAGUGGUAGGGUCUAACGUAGCCUCCAUUAGCGUGACUAGAACUUUCUAAAUCCCUGUGCAUUUUCCCCACCCUCUUUAGCAUGGUCCUCAAGCUAGUCACCCACUUUGUGGGGCUUGGUUCCUAGUGUGAACACAGCCCUGUGUGCCUGGUCUCACUCGUGACCAUGACAGGCUGUCCCUCACGUAAAUGGAGACCCACUUACUGCACGUUUACAUAGUCUACAGUUUUGUGUCAAGCUAACAA